ensembl:lncRNA
AACACUGAUGUGGCUUUUCUCCAGUAUGGAUCUUCUCGUGUUUCUUGAGAUGAGAUAUGUGGCUAAAGGUUUUUCCACACUGAGAACACUGAUGUGGCUUUUCUCCAGUAUGGAUCUUCUGGUGUGUUUUAAGAUUACCCAUAAGGCUAAAGGUUUUUCCACAUAGAGAACACUGAUGUGGCUUUUCUCCAGUAUGGAUCUUCUGGUGUUUUUUAAGAUUACACAUAAGGUUGAAGGUUUUUCCACACAGAGAACACUGAUGUGGCUUUUCUCCAGUAUGGAUCUUCUGGUGAUUUUUAAGAUUAGUCAUUUGAUUAAAAGCCUUUCCACACUGAGAACACUGAUGUGGCUUUGCCCCAAUAUGGAUCCCCUGGUGUCUCUUGAGAUUAGACAUUUGUCUAAAGGUUUUUCCACACUGAGAACACUGAUAGGGCUUUUCUCCAGUAUGGAUCCUCUGAUGGGUCCUAAGUUGAGACAUGUGGCUAAAGGUCUUUUCACACUGAGAACACUGAUAAGGCCUUUCCCCAGUAUGGAUCCUCUGGGGUUCCUUGAGGCUGGAUAUAUAAUUAAUGGUCCCUCCACAUUGAGAACACUGAACUGGCUUUUCUCCAGUAUGUUUCAUCAUAUGUACGGUUAGGUGUGAUUGAUUUGACUGAUUGUGACAUCUGUCUUUGUUUCUUUUUUCCUCAGUGUUCCCUUUCAUAUUAGAUUGGAUCCUUUGAAUGUCUCCUGUAAGAUUAUAAAAAAAAGUUCAGCAACAUUUUCUCUCUUCUUCUCUAUCUGGGAUGAUUCUACAAUACAAUACAUACGAUACAUAUUUUUUAUUUUUGUUUUGUCAGACACUUUCUCUCUUUUGAAUGUAACAGACUGCAGAUAUUAUCCCAUAAGUAAGGUAUUCCCACAGUAUCUCUGUUCUCUGAAUAGGUCUCACAUUCAUUGUGAAGCACAAGUUAGCCAAGUUUCUCUAAAAUUGAAGUAGUGUAACUAUACAUAACACAUAACGAUGAAAAAGCAACUUACCUGUAGGAGAAGAGGCAUAGUGACCAUAUUCACUUAAAUCAAAUUCUUCUUCAUCUGUAAUUUCCAUUGGUGAAUUCUUUUCUUCUUUCAUGGUUGGUGACGUGUACAUUUCAGUCUUGAUUUCACAUUCCAUUCCAGGCUUUUCUUCCACUGUCUGAAUUGCAGACAAAUACUCUUGUAGGAAAUCAUCAAAUUCUUCUUCUUUUAUCUCCUUCUUCACUGACAUGAGCGGUUGUGAUGGUUCGGUAAAUCCAGACAUUUCUGACUUUAGUUCUGUUUGGAAACAGAAACUCGGUCAAACUAUCCUUUAAUGCAACGAUAUGGUGAAAAUCUGCAAAGAAAGAACUACAGUAUAGUUGUACUGCUGCUGAAUUACAAAUACUGUAUAGAUCCAGAGCAUCCCAGUGCCAGCCUUAACAAUGUGAGUUCAUUAAUCUGUCUUUGUGGUGUUAAUAUAAUGCUUCUUCUGUCUGACCUAUUACCUUCUUGAAUUCAAACCUAGCCAAUCAGCUGUAGGAGCUGUUGGAAUGCAAACUAGCAUGACAAAGGGUUAUGGGCAGGUCUCUGAGCACCGUUUACACAUCUGAUGGUCCUCAGGUGGGCAUGGCCAUAAAUCAACCUGCUGAGACUACACAAAGGAGUGUAGUAGAGGGGUGGGGUGGAUGUGUGAACUGAACGGUGAUGGAGAUAAUGUACCUUCCUUCAAGGAUGUAUGUAACACAUAACAAAUACAAUUUACAUGAAUAAAAAAGGCUUUCUCUUUGGCAGUACUCCAACUAAACCUUGCCUGUACAUCUAUUGUGACUAACAUAGAAAUAGUUUAUUUACUCACAAUUCUCUCAGAGAUGCUUGCUGACUUGUUCUUGUACUGCACCUUUAAUCUUUAUGUUCAUACAAUAGGAAAGAAACCUGGGGAAGAGGUUGUGGGUAAAAAGAGAAAGAGAGACGGUUACCAUAGAUUUGCCUUUUUGCAAUACAAAUUAGUACACAUAUUUAUUUUUGCUAAUGUAAAGCAUUAAAAGUUGUAGUCGGUGAUUCUGACAAGAGGUUGAUGAUCAAAUCACACUGGCACUGAUUGUUUCCCAUUUGCA